GAUGAAGAACGCAGCGAAAUGCGAUACGUAAUGUGAAUUGCAGAUUUCAGUGAAUCAUCGAAUCUUUGAACGCACAUUGCGCCCGCUAGUAUUCUGGCGGGCAUGCCUGUUCGAGCGUCAUUUCAACCAUCAAGCCCUAGGCUUGCGUUGGAGCCCUGCGGCUGCCGCAGGCUCCCAAAUCCAGUGGCGGGCUCGUCGUCGUACCGAGUGCAGUAAACAUCCUCGCUCAGGGAACGUGACAGGUUCUUGCCGUGAAACCCCCCACAUAUCAAGGUUGACCUCGGAUCAGGUAGGAAUACCCGCUGAACUUAAGCAUAUCAAUAAGCGGAGGA
rnacentral:misc_RNA from 1 species